GCCAAACAGCUAGCUUAUAAUACCAAACUUAUAUCCCAAUAUUAAUAAAUUUUACAUGACCCUACAACAAAAAACUAAAACAUUUUCCUGCCUUAGUAUGGGCGACAGAAAAGGCACUAAAAGCAAUAGAACAAGUACCGCAAGGGAAAGCUGAAAAAGAAAUGAAAUAACCCAUUUAAGCCUAAAAAAGCAGAGAUAAAUCCUCGUACCUUUUGCAUCAUGAUUUAGCCAGUAACCUUAGAGCAAAGAGAAACUUUAGUUCUUAUCCCCGAAACCAAGUGAGCUACCCCGAGACAGCCUAUAACCAGGGCCAACCCGUCUCUGUGGCAAAAGAGUGGGAGGAUCUCCGGGUAGCGGUGACAGACCUAUCGAACUUGGUGAUAGCUGGUUGCCUAAAAAAUGGAUAUAAGUUCAGCCUCGUACUCCUCCCCCCCCCAUAAAUUACUAUUAUGAGACAGAGAAAUUUACAAGAGUUAAUCAAAAGGGGUACAGCCCUUUUGAAUCGGGAUACAACCCGUCCAGGUGGUUAAAGAUUAUACUCAACAAGAUAACCGCUUCAGUGGGCCUAAAAGCAGCCACCUCAGAAAGCGUUAAAGCUCAAGCGGACAAAAAUUUAUUAUUUUAAUAUUUUACUCCUAAACCCCUACUACUAUUAGGCCAUUCCAUGCGCACAUGGAAGAGAUAAUGCUAAAAUGAGUAACAAGAAGGUAACCCCUUCUCCACACCCAAGUGUAAAUUAGACCGGACCCGCCACUAAUAAUUAACGAACUCAACCAACGAGGGAAAAGUAACCUAAUAAAUUAACCAAGAAAAAUCUACACAACCAAUCGUUAAUCCCACACUGGAGGGGUUUAAGGAAAGAUUAAAAGAAAGGGAAGGAACUCGGCAAAUACAAGCCUCGCCUGUUUACCAAAAACAUCGCCUCCUGCAACAAUCAAUGUAUAAGAGGUCCUACCUGCCCAGUGACUAAGUUAAACGGCCGCGGUAUCCUAACCGUGCGAAGGUAGCGCAAUCACUUGUUUUUUAAAUGAAGACCUGUAUGAAUGGUGAAACGAGGGCUUAACUGUCUCCCCUUUCUAAUCAGUGAAAUUGAUUUACCCGUGCAGAAGCGGGUAUAAAUAUACAAGACGAGAAGACCCUAUGGAGCUUAAGACACCAAAUCAACUAUGCCAAAGCUCCCCCAUAAAUGGGAUUAAACCUUAUAGUACUGAUUAACGUCUUCGAUUGGGGCAAUCGCGGGGAAAAAUAAAUCCCCCAUGUGAAGCAAGACACUUUCUCAAAACUACGAGAUACACCUCUAAGCCACAGAACCUCUGACCGCAAGAUCCGGCAUUUGACCGAUCAACGGACCAAGUUACCCUAGGGAUAACAGCGCAAUCCCCUCCAAGAGUCCAUAUCGACAAGGGGGUUUACGACCUCGAUGUUGGAUCAGGACAUCCUAAUGGUGCAGCCGCUAUUAAGGGUUCGUUUGUUCAACGAUUAAAGUCCUACGUGAUCUGAGUUCAGACCGGAGUAAUCCAGGUCGGUUUCUAUCUGUAAAGCUACUUCUUCUAGUACGAAAGGACCGAAGAGAUAAGGCCCCCACCCAAGACACGCCUUACCCCUACUUAAUGAAAUCAACUCAAUCAAAUAAAAGGGGGCAUAAAUAGCCCAAAGAAAAUUGGA
rnacentral:rRNA from 1 species